CGGGUGUGUUAGUGUGUGUUAAUGCGGGUGUGUUAGUGUGUGUUAAUACGGGUGUGUUAGUGUGUGUUAAUGCAGGUGUGUUAUUGUGUGUUAAUGCAGGUGUAUUAGUGUGUGUUAAUGCAGGUGUAUUAGUGUGUGUUAAUGCAGGUGUAUUAUUGUGUGUUAAUGCAGGUGUAUUAUUGUGUGUUAAUGCAGGUGUGUUAAUGCAGGUGUGUUAAUGCAGGUGUGUUAGUGUGUGUUAAUGCAGGUGUGUUAGUGUGUGUUAAUGCAGGUGUCUUAUUGUGUGUUAAUGCAGGUGUGUUAGUGUGUGUGUUAAAGCAGGUGUAUUAUUGUGUGUUAAUGCGAGUGUGUUAGUGUGUGUUAAUGCAGGUGUGUUAUUGUGUGUUAAUGCAGGUGUGUUAGUGUGUGUUAAUGCAGGUGUGUUAGUGUGUGUUAAUGCAGGUGUGUUAUUGUGUGUUAAUGCAGGUGUGUUAGUGUGUGUGUUAAUGCAGGUGUAUCAUUGUGUGUUAAUGCAGGUGUGUUAGUGUGUGUUAAUGCAGGUGUAUUAUUGUGUGUUAAUGCAGGUGUGUUAUUGUGUGUUGAUGCAGGUGUAUUAUUGUGUGUUAAUGCAGGUGUGUUAGUGUGUGUUAAUGCAGGUGUGUUAGUGUGUGUUAAUGCAGGUGUAUUAUUGUGUGUUAAUGCAGGUGUAUUAUUGUGUGUUAAUGCAGGUGUAUUAUUGUGUGUUAAUGCAGGUGUGUUAAUGCGGGGUGUGUUAGUGUGUGUUAAUGCAGGUGUAUUAUUGUGUGUUAAUGCAGGUGUAUUAGUGUGUGUUAAUGCAGGUGUAUUAUUGUGUGUUAAUGCAGGUGUGUUAGUGUGUGUGUUAAUGCAGGUGUAUUAUUGUGUGUUAAUGCAG
ensembl:lncRNA